GACGAACCGUGCGAACGUUGUUCGGAAUCACUGGGCUUAAAGGGCGCGUAGGCGGUCUGCCAAGUCCGGGGUGAAAGCCCCCAGCUCAACUGGGGAAGUGCCUUGGAUACUGGCGGACUUGAGGGAGGCAGGGGUUGUGGGAACUUCCGGUGGAGCGGUGAAAUGCGGUUGAUAUCGGAAGGAACGCCGGUGGCGAAAGCGCACAACUGGUCCUCUUCUGACGCUGAGGCGCGAAAGCCAGGGGAGGCAAACGGG
rnacentral:rRNA from 1 species